rnacentral:misc_RNA from 1 species
GAUGAAGAACGCAUCGAAAUGCGAUAAGUAAUGCGAAUUGCAGAAUUUCCGUGAGUCAUCGAAUCUUUGAACGCACAUUGCGCCCACUGGUAUUCCGGUGGGCAUGCCUGUUCGAGCGUCAUUAUCCUCCCUCAAACCUCGGGUUUGGUGUUGGACCCAAGUUGUGUGAACAACUGGUCUUAAAGACAAUGACGGCGUCCGUGGGACCCUCGGUGCAACGAGCUUUUAGGAGCACGCGUCGAGUUUCAAGGACCUUCCGGGCCGGUCUCCUUUACCAUUUUACAAGGUUGACCUCGGAUCAGGUAGGAAUACCCGCUGAACUUAAGCAUAUCAAUAAGCGGAGGA